UGAAGACCAAUGAGCGAUUGCGACAACUACGGACCCCUUAACUAGGUUUUUGACUAAUACUAACUAAUAGGCUUUCAGAAGCUUUUCCACACAAAGAGGGGAGGAAGUGCUUGCUGCCAACUUGCCAGACGAGCGGACAUCUGAGCUCAGCAGCGCAUUUACUAUUUGGAGAUGGAUGGCGCCAGGCAGGGUAAAAAGAAGGAUUUUUUUCCAUUAGCCGAGGAAAGAAGUAGCAAAGGAAUAUCGCUAUCGUGGGAAAAAAAGAAAAACGUAGGAUUGAUCGAAGGGAUCCGGCUAAAAACAAAAAGAAGAGAUCAAGGAGAGGGAGCUAGACGAGCACUUGCAAGAGAGCGAGCGGCAGAUCUAAAACUGCUAUAGUAAAGUAGAACGAAAGUACCUCCCAAAGGUUCUACCUUUUCUUGUGCGUUCGGGAAUAAAUAGAAAGUUUCAAAAUGUAUAGAAGACUCUCGAUUGAUUGGUUGUAAUGUUCACGAGGUUGUAUAUAAUCCAAUGUUCAGUGAUAUGACUUUCCUACUGACUGAAUUGCUUGAAUUAGUUGAAGGUGCGGAGUCUUCUUCUUUUGAUUUGAGACGAAUUUUUCUACUGAAAGUGCUUUUGAUAGGGAAUAGGGAAAAGCCUUGCCUUAUUCAAGAGUACCAG
rnacentral:lncRNA from 1 species